rnacentral:rRNA from 1 species
AUGGAGAGGAUGGCUCACUCCUACUUUAAGGAGAUUUUUACUAAGGACCCGACUCUAGCUCCGGAUGAGGUCCUUGAUUGCAUCGCACCUAGAGUCACAGCCGAGAUGAAUGAUUCUUUGUGCAAACCAUACACUGAGGAGGAAAUUUCUAAUGCCCUAUUUCAGAUUGGCCCCUUGAAGGCCCCUGGUAGUGACGGUUGUCCUGCCCGGUUUUAUCAAUGUAACUGGACAGUGCUUAAAGCAGAGAUUAUUACUGCAGUUCAGGAAUUUUUUGUCACAAGGACUAUGCCGGAUGAUGUUAAUGAUACGGUGAUAGUUUUGAUUCCAAAAGUUCCACAUCCAAAGGAACUAAAGGAUUUUCGUCCAAUAAGCUUGUGUAAUGUGGUGUAUAAAAUUGUGUCCAAGUGUAUGGUGAACAGGCUACGGCCCCUCCUCAAUGUGCUUAUCUCCGACAAUCAGAGUGCCUUCAUCCCAGGGAGGCUUAUCCCUGAUAAUUCUAUUAUAGCUUUCGAGUGUAUUCACCAUAUUCAAUCUUUGAAGGAUAAUUCUCCGGCUUUGUGUGCUUAUAAGCUUGACUUAUCUAAAGCCUACGAUUGUGUUGAUUGGGUUUUCUUGGAGAGGGCACUAUCAAAGUGGGGCUUCUCUCAGCAAUGGAUUUCUCGAGUGAUGGCAUGUGUCUCAUCUGUCAAAUACUCGGUGAAGUUUAAUGGCAAAUUGUUGGAGUUUUUCGCCCCGUCUAGAGGGCUUCGGCAAGGUGACCCGUUAUCCCCCUUUCUCUUUCUGUUUGUAGCUGAUGCUCUUUCAUCUUUGAUCAACAAGGCUAUGCGGGAAGAGGGCCUGCAAGGGGUUAAAAUCUGCAGAGGUGCUCCUGAGAUUUCUCACCUCCUUUUUGCGGAUGAUUCACUUUUAUUCUUCCAAGCUUCAGAACAGCAAGCGGUCUUGCUUAAAGGUUUGUUGAACACUUAUGCGACGGCGACUGCACAACUAAUUAACCCGUCGAAGUGCUCCAUCCUUUUCUCAGAUCAGUAUGCACCAAAUGUUAUCCAGGAGGUUAAAAGUGUAUUGGGUAUUACACAGGAAGUGUUUGAACCUAAAUAUCUGGGUCUCCCGGUUCCUGAAGGUAGGAUGCAUAAAGGAAAUUUUGAAACAGUUCAGGAACGUUUGAGGAAGCAUCUCAUUGAUUGGAGUGAGCAGUAUAUGUCGUCAGGUAAUAAGGAGAUUCUAAUUAAAUCGGUUGCCCAGGCUAUCCCUUCUUAUGUUAUGAGUGUGUUUAGGCUCCCUGCUUCUGUUUGCAAUGAGCUAACACGGUUGAUGAGGCAAUAUUGGUGGGGUGUCGAGAAUGGGAAGAAGAAGAUGGCCUGGAUCGAGCUGGGACAUAAUGAUGCUACCAAAGCCUAUGGGAGGCAUGGGUUUCAGGGACAUGCGAGCUUUCAACCAGGCCUUGUUGGCCAAACAAGCCUGGCGCUUGCUGGACUCGCCAGGAAGUUUAUGUGCUCGAUUACUGAAGGCUAA